rnacentral:rRNA from 1 species
ACCCGCUGAAUUUAAGCAUAUAAAUAAGCGGAGGAAAAGAAACUAACAAGGAUUCCCUUAGUAACGGCGAGUGAAGCGGGAAGAGCUCAAAUUUAAAAUCGACGUGGUUCCCACGCCGAAUUGUAGUCUAGAGAGGGGUGCUCUGUGGCAUGCCGGGUAUAAGUCCUCUGGAAUUGGGCAUCAUAGAGGGUGAGAGUCCCGUCUGUGACCCGGAAGUUGUCACUCUACGAGCCUUCUUCUGAGAGUCGCAUUGCUUGGGAGUGCAGUGCAAAAUGGGUGGUAAAUUUCAUCUAAAGCUAAAUAUUGGCGAGAGACCGAUAGCGAACAAGUACCGUGAGGGAAAGAUGCAAAGAACUUUGAAAAGAGAGUCAAAAAGUGCUUGAAAUUGUUAAGAGGAAAAACGAUUGAUGCUAGUGUUACAGUGGUGGGAAUCAGCUGCUGCAAUGCAAAGCUAAAGCCGAUGCACCGCAAGGGCUAGGUGUACGUUAGUAUUGUGGUAGUGUACUUUCUGCUAUUGUAGGCCAACAUCAGUUCGGCUUGUGGGAUAGGGUGUGUGUGACGUUGCUGGUUCCUUCGGGAGCUGGUUUGCAUGCAUUGUACCAUGAGCUGGACUGAGGUAUCAAGUGUACGCUAUGCGAGGAACCCAUUUACUGCUUGAUGUUUCUUGGAACCAUGCUACGGCUGUGGCCCUUGGACAAAGAGCAGUAUGUGGUUUUACAUUUGUGCACUAAAGAUGUUGGCAAAAUGGUAUCAACCGACCCGUCUUGAAACACGGACCAAGGAGUCUAACACGUAUGCGAGCAGCUGGGUGACAAACCUAGAUGCAUAAUGAAAGUGAAAUAUGGGUGCGAUCCGUAAGGUGCAGCAUCGACCGACCAGGAUCUUCUGUGAAAGGUUUGAGUAGGAGCAUACUUGUUGGGACCCGAAAGAUGGUGAACUAUGCCUGAGCAGGGUGAAGUCAGAGGAAACUCUGAUGGAGGCCCGCAGCGUUACUGACGUGCAAAUCGUUCGUCAAACUUGGGUAUAGGGGCGAAAGACUAAUCGAACCAUCUAGUAGCUGGUUUCCUCCGAAGUUUCCCUCAGGAUAGCUGGAGCUCGUACAAGUUUUAUCAGGUAAAGCGAAUGAUUAGAGGCCUCAGGCGUGAAACACGCUUGACCUAUUCUCAAACUUUCAAUGGGUAAGAGCCUGUAGCUGCUUAAUUGAGCUACGGGAUUGAAUUGGAGCUCUUAGUGGGCCAUUUUUGGUAAGCAGAACUGGCGAUGCGGGAUGAACCGAACGUCGUGUUACGGUGCUCAAAUGUUGGCUCAUGUAGACACCAUAAAAAGUGUUGGUUGAUAUAGACAGCAGGACGGUGGCCACGGAAGUCGGAAUCCGCUAAGGAGUGUGUAACAACUCACCUGCCGAAUCAACCAGCCUUGAAAAUGGAUGGCGCUCAAGCCGACUACCUAUACACGACCAUUGAGGCAAAUGCGAGGUCUCAAUGAGUAGGAGGACGUGGUGCUUGUGAAGCAGCCUCAGACGUGAGUCUAGGUGAAACAGGCACUAGUGCAGAUCUUGGUGGUAGUAGCAAAUAUUCAAAUGAGAACUUUGAAGACUGAAGUGGAGAAAGGUUCCAUGUGAACAGCAAUUGGCCAUGGGUUAGUCGAUCCUAAGAGAUAGGGAAAUUCCGUUUUAAAGUGCACGAUUCGUGCCGCCUAUCGAAAGGGAAUCGGGUUAAUAUUCCCGAACCAGAAUGUGGGUAAUGUAUGGUAACAUAACAGAACUCAGAGACACUGGCGGGGGCCCUGGGAAGAGUUCUCUUUUCUUUUUAACAGCUUAUUACCCUGGAAUCAGAUUGGCUGGAGAUAGGGUUAUGUGGCUGGGAAAGCACCUUACGUCUUGAGGUGUCCGGAGCGCUCCCGACGGUCCUUGAAAAUCUGAGGGACAGUAUUAUCUUCACAUCUGGUCGUACUCAUAACCGCAGCAGGUCUCCAAGGUG